AAUAUGAAGGCAAAUUUGAAGCAUGGUGGAAAUUUAAGCUACAACCUCGUUACUGGUUAAUAAGUAGCUAACCAAUGUUAUUUUACACAACACAAGAGCUCCAAGAAUCUCUUCAUUAUUCACCGGAGAUCGAAUGAAAAUAAAUUUUACGAGGAAAUUACAGAAAUUCCGCAUCAAGGUACCGAGGGUCCUUGGGUAAGAAUUAACCGCACGAUUUCAGCGUCGCCCGCCCAAGCUGCCAAAUGAAGCG